rnacentral:rRNA from 1 species
AUUGAACGCUGGCGGCAUGCUUUACACAUGCAAGUCGAACGGUAACAGGCCUUCGGGUGCUGACGAGUGGCGCACGGGUGAGUAAUGCAUCGGAACGUGCCCAGAGGUGGGGGAUAACGCAGCGAAAGCUGUGCUAAUACCGCAUGUGAUCUGAGGAUGAAAGCGGGGGACCAGGCAGCAAUGUUUGGCCUCGCGCCUUUGGAGCGGCCGAUGUCAGAUUAGGUAGUUGGUGGGGUAAAGGCCUACCAAGCCGACGAUCUGUAGCUGGUCUGAGAGGACGACCAGCCACACUGGGACUGAGACACGGCCCAGACUCCUACGGGAGGCAGCAGUGGGGAAUUUUGGACAAUGGGCGCAAGCCUGAUCCAGCAAUGCCGCGUGAGGGAAGAAGGCCUUCGGGUUGUAAACCGCUUUUGUACGGAACGAAAAGGCUCUGGCUAAUACCUGGGGCUGAUGACGGUACCGUAAGAAUAAGCACCGGCUAACUACGUG